CCUACGGGUUGCACCAGUGGGGAAUACUGGACAAUGGGCGAAAGCCUGAUCCAGCAAUGCCGCGUGUGUGAAGAAGGUCUUCGGAUUGUAAAGCACUUUCGACGGGGACGAUGAUGACGGUAACCGGAGAAGAAGCCCCGGCUAACUUCGUGCCAGCAGCCGCGGUAAUACGAAGGGGGCUAGCGUUGUUCGGAAUUACUGGGCGUAAAGCGCGCGUAGGCGGAUAGAUAAGUCAGAGGUGAAAUCCCGGGGCUCAACCCCGGAAUUGCCUUUGAUACUGUUUAUCUUGAGUGCAGAAGAGGUAAGUGGAAUUCCGAGUGUAGAGGUGAAAUUCGUAGAUAUUCGGAGGAACACCAGUGGCGAAGGCGGCAACCUGGCUCGAUACUGACGCUGAGGCGCGAAAGCGUGGGGAGCAAACAGGAUUAGAUACCCCCGUAGUC
rnacentral:rRNA from 1 species